UGAUGGAGUUGGGCUUCGGUCGAGGUAUUGGGGUUGUGGAAAAAGUAGUUCUGAGGGGAGUGGAGGGAUACAGGUAGCGCCAUGACCGUACUGAUGCCACUAAGUGGAUAGACCCUGCCUUCAGCUUAGAUCUCAAAGAGGGAGUGAUGCUUCCCAUCACAUCCACGGUGAAGAGUCCCUCUUUCUGCUCUAAGUGGCAGAUGUCACUCAGAUCUGGUGAGAGCAAGAAGCCACCAUGUACGAUGGCACAUCUUUCCUGGAAAGAUGGGUAAAAAGGAGUACCAGCAUUUUUGGCAGGCAGAGAUUAUCAAGAAAACAAGCCCUCCUUGACAACGCUGUGUUCAGUCCUGUUUCUCCAGGGGAGCUAAGAAAGCCAUCAGGUUGGAUGCUGAGGAGGCAGAAGAGGACAUCCAUGGAGCAUCAAAGUCAGUGUGGGCUGGAACCUGAAGAUAAGGCUUCUCGCGCACUUGGGUGAAUGUGGCUGGUUAAUGGUCAGUGUCAGUACACUUCAGAGAAAUUUAUAUUGAAAACACUUAGAGAAGAUCGUGACAUUGGACAGUGCUGCAACAGCCCCGUGUGGCCCUGUGUUCCGAUCGUUUACACGGACUGGCUAUCUUUUUGAGUUGAAGGCAAACAGCAAAGAGGAGACACAGCUGUGAUUACUCAAAGCACACAGAAGCCGUGAGUCCUGAAUCACGUGCGUGGUUAAAUGGGCAGGAACCUACAAGUAAAACAAACGGUGGGCAUAAGCUCAAGGAGAAAUGUGUGCUAAACUCAGGGAGCAACGUGCGCUAAAUUCAAGGAGCAAUGUGCGCUAAAUUCAAGGAACAACAUGCGCUAAGGUCGAGGAGCAACGUGCGCUUCCAGCUCAGCAAACUGCGGUUUUUGAAAACCACCAUCUCCAUCACCUGAGGUGUGGCUGCGGCCCUGGGUUCUCAGGUCUUCUUGAGCUAGAGCUGAAGGGCAGCUCCAGUUAGAACAAGAACAAACCCGAGAGACAAGCACCUGCCUCAGCACCACCCUACAGGAGACCCGGCUGUCUCUGGGCUGGGUGCUGUUUGGAGCUAAGGUUCAGAUUCAGCCACCACUCUCUUUGCCCUGCUUACUAGUGGAGCUCUUUGUGCUGGAAACUGGCGUUUCGAUGUGGUCUGAGGGUCACUUCAGCCUCAAACUCAACCACCAGAUCUUCCCAUCCAUGGACUGUGCCCUAGAGCUGUGAGCCCAAGUUCUCCUCUGGUGACACUCUGGGGAAGCUGGGAAAUUUUCAGAAGGUGGAUCCCCUCUGGAGGAAGUGGGUCACUGAGGUGGCCCUUGAGGCAAACUUCCUGUUUGCUUUCCGAGUGUAGAGGCCAUGUGAUCAUCUAGCCUCCUGCCCAUGCCUUCCUGGCUGCUGCUGGUCCCUGCUGUGACAGGCUGUGUCCCUCAGAGACUGUAAAACAAAAUAAACCCUUCCCCUCUGCAGCUCCUUUUGUCAACAUACCUUACUGAAGCAAUAAGAAAGUAACUAAGACAUACUUCAUAUGCAUCAGAGUGCUGUGGAUGCUAAGACUCCCCUCUGAAAUCAAUAGAUUUUAACACCGGAACUGGACUAUUGAACACACAGCCACAGUCCUUCAAUCUGUAGGUCUUCCUAAUGAAUCAAUUAAUUACUGUGCUUCAUUACUACAGCAAAUCAAACUGAACUGUGGAUCUUCUAACUAGCCACAGUUGCACUCAUCUAAUGACACCUCUAAUUAGUUCUUGCUACCACAAAAUUAAACUUACAGUUUUU